UUUUUUCUAGCAAACUUCUCUCGUCAGUGUGCAACACACACGAGAGAUUUUCCUUUUUUCCCUCUGUCCUGCCCCUCCCUUUUUCCAUAUCACGUUUUGUAGCCCUAGACAACACACUCUCUCUCUCUCUCUCUCACUUGAAUGGAGGCAAGCGACGAGCGGCGAUCGGCGACCGUGGUGGCGAGCGACGAUCGACUAUCGGCGACAGUGGCGGCGCGCAGCGAUCGAAGCAUCGAUUCGAAGGCUUAAUGGUCGGGCUUUUCAGGUGGCCACUCACAGACUAACAUGUGGGCCAAGAUCCAAAAUUCAAGCCCAAACCCAACCCAAGUAUUAUGCAAACGAGUCUAACCUUGUUUGCAUAAAAAAAAUGACAAUAUCAGUUUUUCUUUAUCAAUAAUAAAUUAUUAAUAAAAAAGAAUUAAGUGUAAGGCAGCCUAAUUUAAUUAUAUUAAAAUUAUGAAGUUCACUAUAUUUUCUCCGAACUUUUCAUAGGAGGUUAGUGUAAUUUACCCUUUAAAUAACGUGGGUGGAAAGUCAGACAAUAAAGCUCCUGUAAUUUACAUUCUAGGUAUUAAAAUUAAAUGAUACAAUAAUAAUAAUAUUACAUACAUAAAAUACUAUAACCAUGAUCUACUAAAUUCAGAUCUACACUAUAUAUUGUGAAUAUUUUACUAAACAUUUGGUUUAGUACAUAGCAUUUCUAAUCUCUAAUACAAUAAAGCUAUGCUAAUGUUAUCAAAUCAUGCCCCAUUUGGGAUCCAAAGUUUGGCUAAAAUAGUCAAUAAAGACCACAAAAAAAAAAAGUUAAUAAUAAAAUAUCACAUCAAAACUAUAAUCAUUUUAAUAGUUAAGGUUUCCAAACAGGCCUCAAUAUCAAUUUAGAGAGUUAUUUUAAUCAGGAAGAAUGAAAAACUAAAAAAAUGAUUUAUAACAUCAUCACCACGGUGGUUAGAUGGUUGCAGCAGUGCCUUCAUCUCCUUGAUCUUAAUCAUUCUCCUUCUCCUUCCUUUAGCUCUGUCAUCCAUGAGCUCUGUUAUGACCCAACGGUUGAGAAGACUCCAUCCCAUGCAACUAACAUCCCAAAGUGGAGAAAUUUAUACCAUUACAAUCAACAAAAUCCAUUGAUUGAUUCAAAUAUCUGAUUUGGAAAUUUCAAUACUUAUGUUUAAUUGAUUUCUCGAAAAGCAGUUUUCACUUGCUCGUAAGUGUGCAUGUCUGAGACUUUGAGUAUGACUGCCCACGUCUGCCAAAGUUUUUCCUCUUUGAAAAUUGCAUAUAACAUGUGCUUGCAAAUGCAUUGUGAUAAUGCCCAAGCACUAAUACCACAUUGUGAUAAUUUGUGUUUCAAUUAGCAUAUUUCCCUUUAAAAUCAUGAUUAGUUUAUGACAAAAACCCAUCAAUUUUGAAGAUGAUGGCUAUGGCAUAGGAAGGGAAAAAUCUUUGACCAUUAAAGUAAUCAUACCUCUUCUGGUUUUGUUCAAUGAUCUAAAAGCGGAAACCUUAAUCAGCCACUAUGAAAUCCGGUCUUAUUAGCACCUUGAAUCAAGGUUUUCAAUUCCCCUACUCUGUUUUCCAUGCCCUUCUCUCUCUUUCUUCUUAUGCACACAAAAAGAACUUGUAUAUUAGAUGAACGAAGUAACAGGGAAACAAAAAACACAUAAUUAAUUAAAUGGAAAGAUGAAGGGAUUUCAAAAUACAGCACGUGUGUUUAAUGCAAUUAUCAGUUGUAUACACAAAUCAGAAAAUCACAUAGAAAAGUGGUGCCCUUAUAGCAAAAUAUAUGCAACUAAAACACAAUUCAAAAACAAAAACAAAAACAAAUUUUCAAUUGAAAAUCAAAGUUGGUUUAUAUGACAAAGCAGAUUAUUCAUUCUGACAAUUGCAAUUGAGACCAUUCCAGAAAAAGUCCAACCAACAUCAUCAACAAUUUAAAUUAACCAACUAAAAACAAAAUAGUACAUAAAAAUUUAAGUUGCAAUAAGAUUUCAAUGUCAACUCCAAAAGCUAUUAAAAACCACAAAUUGAAAUUUGAUCAUGAACAAUAAGACCAACUCCGAUUGUGAACAAUAAGAACAACUCCAAUCGCCUUAUGGCCGCCAAACACUACCCCAUCAAAAUCAAUUUUAUAACAACUUGCUAAGGGCACGCUCUACUGAGUUAUUGAGGGCAAUGAAGAAACCCAUCAUUCACCGAUAACACAAGCACCCAAAUCACUUACCAUUCAAACAAUUUCCCCUACAUUUCUACAAUUAUUAUUAAAAAUGACUUGGCUACGAGAUGUCCACAACUCUCAACACAAAGCCACAAAAAGCCCCACCCCUAUGUCAUCAAAUAAGCUUUCAACCUCACAAAACCAAUGGUAAAAAUCAGAACAAGAACGCAACUGAGAACACAACGGGAAAGGGCUCAUCUGCCACACUUGUUGUGCCAACGGGCAGGCUUAAAACUAUACUUAAAACUCUUGUGGAGUUAUUAUAAUCAAGAUAUAUCCCUAAUUUAAAUGUAAAAAAAAAAAUUGAAAUAAAUGAGAGAGGGGAUUCAACUGAUAAAAUUAGUAAACAGAGGAUUAAAAAACUGACAUUGAUGUACUUUUUUCACAUACUUCUUAACCUAUUCUUCUUGAUCAGAAGCAAGAAGGCCAUCUUCAUAUUACUAAACAAAGUUUUGAAACAUUUUUAUAAAAUACUUCUAAAGUAAAUUUAAACGUACUACUGAACUAAAAACAAAAUAAUUUCCUCCCAUUAAUGAACAGAAAUAGACUUGGACAUGGUGGAAAUAACGAUUGUAAUCUCCAAAUCUCUACUCGACUACUUCAAUUUCACUUGCGACAUCAGAUCUUUGCUCCCUGCCACCCGCUAAAGUCUCCACCUUCUCAUUAGCAUUCUUAGUUCUAUCACCCACAGAAAUUUCAGGCAUCUUCUCACAUGUAUCAUAGUAUUCAGUCAGAGGAGUUGGAGGGUGAACUUGGAUAUCCAAAAGAUCAUUGUCGGGAGAACUUUCAUGUGUCAUUCCUUCUUUCAAGAACAAUGGUUUUUUUUUUUUUUGGAUAAGACAUUAUAACCAGAAAAGAAAGAUAUACAAUGAAGUGUAAUAAUCCAAGAACAAUCUUAGGAUUAAAAGACUCAAACACCCAAUAUAUGUGUAAUAAUUUAAUAAAUAAUCAGGAAUGAUGGUUUCCAUGCCAUUAAAACUCUCUUGAAUGUUUGAUUAACCAUCAAACUAUACAACCCAAAAUCGGUAGAUGGCUUAUAGAUUUGAGUGUUUAAGAGAACUAUGGAACAUGAAGAAAUUAAGAGACCCACUAUAUAGGCUGAUGAACAGAAGUGAUAUGAGGGAAGUAUUUUCAAUUCAUUUUCCAAAUAGCCCAUAUUCUUUACCAAAUGAUUGAUGAAUUUCCUUCCUUAGAACAUACCCGGCUCCCAAAAUAGUUCCCAGUAAGAGAUUGCUGAUAGUCAGUGUGAAAUUCAAUUGGAUACGACUAAAUUUAGAGAAGAAGUUGGGAAGAUCAAAACAUGUUAGGAUGUGUUUUGAUAAUGCAGUUCGAUCGGCAGGGUAUGGAUCUAAUUGAUCCAAGCCCUCCACGGGUUGAUGGGCCUUCAUCCUCCUAAUCGCACCUCCAACAAGUUCAGUAGGAAGGUUUCGAAAUGGAGGUGGUUCGUUCCUGUGGACCCUUCGACGAUCAAGUUAAAUGAGGAUAUGGUCGGGGUCACAGUUUAAGGAGAAGGUUCAAAGUAGAGAGAGAGAGUGAAUUACUUGUUGUCAAAACAUUCCUCAGAACUUCCUUAUAUCUCUCUUACUAAUCAUUUCCUUGUCCAUUCAUGUUGUCCCGUUGACCGAAAGCCUGCAACCUACUCGCUGUCUGCCAUGGCGGAUUCACCACGUCCCAGAGCAAGAGGUGGCUAAUUCCCUACUCGACACGUGUCUAGCUGUAACUAGCUUGGAUCACUAUGGGUUCUUUGUUCUCUGCUGGGCUCUCUGUUGGGCCUUAUUUGGCUGGCUUUAUAGUGAUAACUAGCCAAGAAAUUAUCUGGGCCACCUAAGGUAACUGUAGGUUGGGCCCUCCUGGGCUAUGCCCAUCAUGUUUAAUCUGUAGUGUGAUUAGUUUGGCUGUUUGGGUAGCAUGUUUUGAUCUUCUCCGCUUCUCUAAAUUUAGUUGUGUCCAAUUGAAUUUUACACUGACUAUUAGCAAUCUCUUACUGGGAACUAUUUUGGAACCCAGGUAUGUUUUGAUGAAGGAAAUUCAUUAAUCAAUUGUUACAAAAUAUGGGCCAUUUGGAAAAUUGAUUGGAAAUACUUGCUUCACAUUACUUCUAUUCAUGUUUCAUCUUUUGAUUGAGAAUUCAAUCUAUACAAUGGGUUUGCUCAUUUCUUCAUGUUUCGUAGUUCUUUUCAAAUCUAUAGGCCAUCUACCGAUUUUGGAUUGUAUAGUUUGAUGGUUAAUCAAACAUUUAAGAAAGUUUUAAUGGCAUGAAAACAGUCAUGACGCAUGAAAGCUCUCCCGACAAUGAUCUUUUGAAAAUCCAAUUUCACCUUUCAACUCCUCUGACUGAAUACCAUGAUACAUGUGAUGAGAUACUUGAAAAUUUCUGUGGAUGAUAGAACUGAGAAUGCUAAUGUGGAGGUGGAGACUUCAGUGGGUGACGAGAAGUAAAGAUGUGAUGUUGCAAGUGAAAUUGGAGUAGUCGAGUAGAGAUUUGGAGAUUGCAAUAUUUAUUUCCACCAUGCCCAAGUUUGUUUUUGUUCGUUAAUGGGUGAAAAUUAUUUUGUUUUUAGUUCAGUAAUACGUUUAAUUUUACUUUAGAAAUUUUUUUUAUAAAAAUAUUUUAUUACUUUGUUUAGUAAUAUGAAAAUGGCCUUCUUGCUUCUAAUCAAGAGGAAUAGGUUAAGAAGUAUGUGAGAAGUAAAUCAAUGUUACUUUUUAAAUCAUCUGUUUAUUAAUUUUUUCAGUUUAAUCCUCUCUCAUUUAUUUCAAUUGUUGUUUUUUUUAAAAAUUAGGAAUAUAUCUUGAUUAUAAUAACUCCACAAGAGUUUUAAGCAUGGUUUUAAGCCUGCCCGUUGGCACAACAAGUGUGACAGAUGAGCCCUUUCCCGUUGUGUUCUCAAUUGCGUUCUUGUUCUGAUUUUCGCCAUUAGUUUUGUGAGGUUGAAGGCUUAUUUGAUGACAGGGGUGGGGCUUUUGGUGGCUUUGUGUUGGGGGUUGUGGUCAUUUUCAAUAAUAAUUGUAGAAAUGCAGGGGAAAUUGUUUGAAUGGCAAGUGAUUUGGUGAUGGAGUUUAGUCGCGUGCUUGUGUUAUUCGUCGCCCUCAGUAACUCGGUAGAGUGUGCCAUUAGCAGGUUGUUAUAAAAUUGAUUUUGAUGGGGUAGUGUUUGGCAGCCAUAUGGCGAUCGAAGUUGUUCUUAUUCUUCACCAUCGGACUUGGUCUUAUUGUUUGUGAUCUAAUUUCAAUUUGUGGUUUUUAAUAGCUUUUUAGUCAAUUUGAUCUACACUAAGAGGCUAACUCCUUGAUUUGUGUGAACUAUAUCAUGAUUUGAAUGCUUU